GAUUGGAUUUGGAUUUGUAUUGUUUGAACCCGAUCCGAUCCGAAAUCCGAAUUUAUUAGGGAAAGUGUAAAUACUAAUUUUAUUUUUAGGGUUAGAACUUAUUUCAUUCUCGUUCUUUUCUCACAGUCAUAUCUCAGAGACUCAGACUUUGACUCUCAGAGAGACAGAGACUACUGUUUCACGCCACAAGCUGCUCCUGCUCGUCGCUUCCUCUGUCUCUUCUUUGUGUUCCGGCGACCAACGACCGCACUGUGUUACAGAACUUGAAAGCGUGCCAGGAAUCAGGACGGAAUGCGAUGGCCAUAGAAGUUGGAACUUGGAACUCUUUUGUGUAAUCUAUUAAGGAAUUCUGGUUGAGGAUUUCAGUUCAUUAGUGAUUAGACAUCUAUUUGGGAUUUUAGUUAAUUUUGUUUUGUUAUGAAGAAUGAAGAUUGUGUUUUGUUUAUGGACGCCUGUGAAUUUCUUUGAAAGACGCCUAUGAUGAACUGGUGCUUACCACAUGCAACUGAAUUUUCUCAAAUAUUUGCAUG